rnacentral:rRNA from 1 species
CACAGAUGGAGUCGUACGAACUCUGUGUAUUGAUUGGUGCUUGCAUCUUGAUUUACAUUUGAGUGAGUGGCGAACUGGUGAGUAACACGUGGGAAACCUGCCCAGAAGCGGGGGAUAACACCUGGAAACAGAUGCUAAUACCGCAUAACAACUUGGACCGCAUGGUCCGAGUUUGAAAGAUGGCUUCGGCUAUCACUUUUGGAUGGUCCCGCGGCGUAUUAGCUAGAUGGUGAGGUAACGGCUCACCAUGGCAAUGAUACGUAGCCGACCUGAGAGGGUAAUCGGCCACAUUGGGACUGAGACACGGCCCAAACUAAUACGGGAGGCAGCAGUAGGGAAUCUUCCACAAUGGACGAAAGUCUGAUGGAGCAACGCCGCGUGAGUGAAGAAGGGUUUCGGCUCGUAAAACUCUGUUGUUAAAGAAGAACAUAUCUGAGAGUAACUGUUCAGGUAUUGACGGUAUUUAACCAGAAAGCCACGGCUAACUACGUGCCAGCAGCCGCGGUAAUACGUAGGUGGCAAGCGUUGUCCGGAUUUAUUGGGCGUAAAGCGAGCGCAGGCGGUUUUUUAAGUCUGAUGUGAAAGCCUUCGGCUCAACCGAAGAAGUGCAUCGGAAACUGGGAAACUUGAGUGCAGAAGAGGACAGUGGAACUCCAUGUGUAGCGGUGAAAUGCGUAGAUAUAUGGAAGAACACCAGUGGCGAAGGCGGCUGUCUGGUCUGUAACUGACGCUGAGGCUCGAAAGUAUGGGUAGCAAACAGGAUUAGAUACCCUGGUAGUCCAUACCGUAAACGAUGAAUGCUAAGUGUUGGAGGGUUUCCGCCCUUCAGUGCUGCAGCUAACGCAUUAAGCAUUCCGCCUGGGGAGUACGGCCGCAAGGCUGAAACUCAAAGGAAUUGACGGGGGCCCGCACAAGCGGUGGAACAUGUGGUUUAAUUCGAAGCUACCCGAAAAACCUUACCAGGUCUUGACUAACU